rnacentral:rRNA from 1 species
UAAGUUAAUAAGGGCGCACGGUGGAUGCCUUGGCACUAGGAGCCGACGAAGGACGUGACAAACGACGAUAUGCCUUGGGUAGCUGUAAGUAAGCGAUGAUCCAGGGAUUUCCGAAUGGGGGAACCCAACAGGUAAUACCUGUUACCUACAUCUGUUAAGGAUGUGAGGAGGAAGACGCAGUGAACUGAAACAUCUAAGUAGCUGCAGGAAGAGAAACCAAAAGCGAUUGCCUUAGUAGCGGCGAGCGAAACGGCAGAAGGGCAAACCGAAGAGUUUACUCUUCGGGGUUGUAGGACUGCAAUGUGGACUCAAAGAUUAUAGAAGAAUGAUUUGGGAAGAUCAGCCAAAGAGAGUAAUAGCCUCGUAUUUAAAAUAGUCUUUGUACUUAGCAGUAUCCUGAGUACGGCGGGACACGUGAAAUCCCGUCGGAAUCUGGGAGGACCAUCUCCCAACCCUAAAUACUCCCUAGUGACCGAUAGUGAACCAGUACCGUGAGGGAAAGGUGAAAAGCACCCCGGGAGGGGAGUGAAAUAGAACCUGAAACCGUGUGCCUACAACAAGUUCGAGCCCGUUAAUGGGUGAGAGCGUGCCUUUUGUAGAAUGAACCGGCGAGUUACGUUAUGAUGCGAGGUUAAGUUGAAGAGACGGAGCCGUAGGGAAACCGAGUCUGAAUAGGGCGCCUUAGUAUCAUGACGUAGACCCGAAACCAUGUGACCUACCCAUGAGCAGGUUGAAGGUGCGGUAAGACGCACUGGAGGACCGAACCAGGGCACGUUGAAAAGUGCUUGGAUGACUUGUGGGUAGCGGAGAAAUUCCAAACGAACUUGGAGAUAGCUGGUUCUCUCCGAAAUAGCUUUAGGGCUAGCGUCGACAUUAGAGAUUCUUGGAGGUAGAGCACUGUUUGGGUGAGGGGUCCAUCCCGGAUUACCAAUCUCAGAUAAACUCCGAAUGCCAAUGAAUUAUGGUCGGCAGUCAGACUGCGAGUGCUAAGAUCCGUAGUCGAAAGGGAAACAGCCCAGACCACCAGCUAAGGUCCCAAAAUAAUUGUUAAGUGGAAAAGGAUGUGGGGUUGCACAGACAACUAGGAUGUUAGCUUAGAAGCAGCUAUUCAUUCAAAGAGUGCGUAAUAGCUCACUAGUCGAGUGACCCUGCGCCGAAAAUGUACCGGGGCUAAAACAAUUUACCGAAGCUGUGGAUACCUUUAUAGGUAUGGUAGGAGAGCGUUCUAUGUGUGAUGAAGGUAUACCGUGAGGAGUGCUGGAACGCAUAGAAGUGAGAAUGCCGGUAUGAGUAGCGAAAGACAGGUGAGAAUCCUGUCCACCGUAAGACUAAGGUUUCCAGGGGAAGGCUCGUCCGCCCUGGGUUAGUCGGGACCUAAGGAGAGACCGAAAGGUGUAUCCGAUGGACAACAGGUUGAUAUUCCUGUACUAGAGUAUGUAGUGAUGGAGGGACGCAGUAGGCUAACUAAAGCAGACGAUUGGAAGAGUCUGUCUAAGCAGUGAGGUGUGAAUUGAGUCAAAUGCUUAAUUCUAUAACAUUGAGCUGUGAUGGGGGAGCGAAGUUUAGUAGCGAAGUUAGUGACGUCACACUGCCAAGAAAAGCUUCUAGCGUUUAAACAUACUCUACCCGUACCGCAAACCGACACAGGUAGUCGAGGCGAGUAGCCUCAGGUGAGCGAGAGAACUCUCGUUAAGGAACUCGGCAAAAUGACCCCGUAACUUCGGGAGAAGGGGUGCUGACUUAAAGUCAGCCGCAGUGAAUAGGCCCAAGCAACUGUUUAUCAAAAACACAGCUCUCUGCUAAAUCGUAAGAUGAUGUAUAGGGGGUGACGCCUGCCCGGUGCUGGAAGGUUAAGAGGAGUGCUUAGCGUAAGCGAAGGUAUGAAUUGAAGCCCCAGUAAACGGCGGCCGUAACUAUAACGGUCCUAAGGUAGCGAAAUUCCUUGUCGGGUAAGUUCCGACCCGCACGAAAGGCGUAAUGAUUUGGGCACUGUCUCAACGAGAGACUCGGUGAAAUUUUAGUACCUGUGAAGAUGCAGGUUACCCGCGACAGGACGGAAAGACCCCAUGGAGCUUUACUGCAGUUUGAUAUUGAGUGUCUGUACCACAUGUACAGGAUAGGUAGGAGUCUAAGAGAUCGGGACGCCAGUUUCGAAGGAGACGCUGUUGGGAUACUACCCUUGUGUUAUGGCCACUCUAACCCAGAUAGGUGAUCCCUAUCGGAGACAGUGUCUGACGGGCAGUUUGACUGGGGCGGUCGCCUCCUAAAAGGUAACGGAGGCGCCCAAAGGUUCCCUCAGAAUGGUUGGAAAUCAUUCGCAGAGUGUAAAGGUAUAAGGGAGCUUGACUGCGAGAGCUACAACUCGAGCAGGGACGAAAGUCGGGCUUAGUGAUCCGGUGGUUCCGUAUGGAAGGGCCAUCGCUCAACGGAUAAAAGCUACCCUGGGGAUAACAGGCUUAUCUCCCCCAAGAGUUCACAUCGACGGGGAGGUUUGGCACCUCGAUGUCGGCUCGUCGCAUCCUGGGGCUGUAGUCGGUCCCAAGGGUUGGGCUGUUCGCCCAUUAAAGCGGCACGCGAGCUGGGUUCAGAACGUCGUGAGACAGUUCGGUCCCUAUCCGUCGCGGGCGUAGGAAAUUUGAGAGGAUCUGCUCCUAGUACGAGAGGACCAGAGUGGACUUACCGCUGGUGUACCAGUUGUCUUGCCAAAGGCAUCGCUGGGUAGCUAUGUAGGGAAGGGAUAAACGCUGAAAGCAUCUAAGUGUGAAACCCACCUCAAGAUGAGAUUUCCCAUGAUUAUAUAUCAGUAAGAGCCCUGAGAGAUGAUCAGGUAGAUAGGUUAGAAGUGGAAGUGUGGCGACACAUGUAGCGGACUAAUACUAAUAGCUCGAGGACUUAUCCA